AGCCCCAACCCGUCCUUUCAGCCCCUCCCUCACCAAACCAGGGAUCUGGCAGGAGAGCAAGAAGGCAGCUGCAUCUUUCAACAGCUGCUUCUGGUCCCGAACUUCAUCCUGGCAGGACUCAGGAAAUCGAACCCCUGGGGAGAAGAUGUCAGGAUUGAAGCGAAUAUCAAAGGCUGUGCUGCUGACAGAGCCAACAGCCUUGCAGGCGUUUUGGAUCACCUCUCGGCUUCGAGGGUCUACUGUGGGGAUGUGAGGAUAGGAGGUAGAGUUGUGCUGCUAUGAGCCUCUUGCCCACCCGCUCUAGGGAUGUCUGCCUGCCCCUCAGAGAUCUGUGAGCUAAACUGCCACAACCAAACAAGCACAGCAGCCCCACCUGUGCCAUCGUCUGAGGCGAUGGUCUCUGCCAGCUCCUUCACCUUGGCCAGGCCGCUCACACUGCUGCCUUCCUCCUCACAACCUGCCUCAGAUCCUAGUGAGUCUUCAGAUUUGGUCUCUGUUGAGGAGGGAGGGCCACCAUUCUCCAGGGAGGUGGAGGUGUCCACCUUGCUGGCCUUCUGUUGCAUCAACUGUAAGGCGGCCAGCUUCAUGAAGAGAAGGUACCUAAGAGCAGCAAGGCAGGCGUGAUGAAGAAGGGGCUGUGGAGACUGGGGCCAGGCUGCCCAGUGGUUAAGAGCACUUGCUAUUCUUACAGAUUCAAUUUCCAGUACUGACAUGGCAGCUCUCAACCAUCUGCACUUCAGUUCCAGAAAGUUCAAUGCCCUCUUGUGACCUUUAAGGGAACUGGCAUAUGGGGUUGGGGAUUUAGCUCAGUGGUAGAGCGCUUGCCUAGGAAGCGCAAGGCUCUGGGUUCAGUCCCCAGCUCCGAAAAAAAAAAAAAAAAAAAAAGGAAACUGGCAUACAUGUGGUCACAUACAUGUAGGUAAAACAUUCAUACACACGACUAUAGCAAUUAACUCUUAAAAAAAAAACAAACCAGGCGGGUAUCAGCACAUGCCUCUAAUCUCAGAACUGGGGAGGAGAGGCAGAAAGAUCUCUGAGUUCAAGGCCAGCUUGGUCUUCAGAAUGAGUUCCAGGACAGCCAGAGCUAUACAGAGAAAUCUUGUCUCAAGAAAAUAAAACAAGGGCUGGAGAGAUGGCUUAACGGUUAAAAGCACUGCCUGUUCUUCCAGAGGUCCUGAGUUCAAUUCCCAGCAACCACAUGGUGGCUCACAGCCAUCUAUAAUGGGAUCUGAUGCCCUCUUCUGGUGUGUCUGAAGACAGCUACAGUGUAUUCAUAUA